AACGAACGCUGGCGGCAUGCCUAACACAUGCAAGUCGAACGAGACCUUCGGGUCUAGUGGCGCACGGGUGCGUAACGCGUGGGAAUCUGCCCUUUGCUUCGGAAUAACAGUUAGAAAUGACUGCUAAUACCGGAUGAUGUCUUCGGACCAAAGAUUUAUCGGCAAAGGAUGAGCCCGCGUAGGAUUAGGUAGUUGGUGGGGUAAAGGCCUACCAAGCCGACGAUCCUUAGCUGGUCUGAGAGGAUGAUCAGCCACACUGGGACUGAGACACGGCCCAGACUCCUACGGGAGGCAGCAGUGGGGAAUAUUGGACAAUGGGCGAAAGCCUGAUCCAGCAAUGCCGCGUGAGUGAUGAAGGCCUUAGGGUUGUAAACUGCUUUGUACGAACGAAACGGUGAGCUCUAAUACAGUUUGCUAAUGACGGUACCGUAAGAAUAAGCACCGGCUAACUACGUGCCAGCAG
rnacentral:rRNA from 1 species